rnacentral:lncRNA from 1 species
CUCAAACCCUAAACCACCAAACUCCAAACCCUUCCAUUGCUGCCCUUCCCGUCUUCUUCCUCAUCACCACCAUCUACACCUCACUCUCCUCCACACCCUAAACUCCGUCAACAAGCACACCAACGAACUCCAGCUCCCUGCCAACCAGCCCAGCUCGUCUAUGAACGAGCAACCUCGAUAAACAGUCCAUUUUCGUCUUCAGCUUUCCCUAUCAUCCAAACCCAGCCAUGAACCAGCGCCCAAACGACCCCCUCAUUCUAUUAUCGUCCAAUCCCUCACAUCACCUUCGUCGCAAAGAACCAAACCAGUCAGUUGCUGCACCGUCAUCCCCCAUAACCAGCAGCCCCAACGCUAUCUCCUCCAUCGCCAGCCAGCGACACCGUCCAGUUCCAAGCUGACCUGACAACCCCAUCUGCCUCUGUUGAUCCAUCUCUUAGCUCGUUGAGGUCGUUCGUCGUCAACUCCAGGUUUGUUCGUU